rnacentral:tRNA from 1 species
AGAGAUCUUGCUUAGUUGCAGAGCACUUGCCAAACAUGCAAGAGCCCCUAGGUUCAAUCCCUAGUACUGCAA